ACUUGUGGUUUAGUGGUUAGUAUUCAGUGCGCUCACCACUGUGUCCCGGGUUUGAUUCCUGGUCAAAGAA